rnacentral:sRNA from 1 species
GAUCGUAUCAAAUGCCUUAGCGUAAUC